UGCGGGGUGGAGCAGUCUGGUAGCUCGUUGGGCUCAUAACCCAAAGGUCGGAGGUUCAAAUCCUCCCCCCGCUACCA
rnacentral:tRNA from 1 species